rnacentral:rRNA from 1 species
CUACGGUGAACACGUUCCCGGACCUUGUACACACCGCCCGUCAAGCCAUGGAAGCUGGGUGUACCUAAAGUCGAUAACCGUAAGGAGUCGCCUAGGGUAAAACUAGUAACUGGGGCU